CACCUCCGCCCGGGGACCCGGUGCCUGCAGGAGACCUGCCAGCCCGGCUGUGCCUGCCCGCCCGGACAGGUGCUGCAGGAUGGUGCCUGCGUCCCCCCCGAGGAGUGCCGCUGCGUGCUGGCCCCCCCCGUGCCCUGGGCGCGCAACCUGUCGCAGGAGGAGCGGGAGCAGGAGUACCCGCCGGGCAGCCGCAUCCACCACCGCUGCAACAGCUGCGUCUGCAUCCGUGGCGCCUUCAACUGCUCCCGGCAGGAUUGCAACGCCCGGCAGCGAGUGGCUCGAGGACUGCGCGACCUGCCG
rnacentral:lncRNA from 1 species